AGAGUUUGAUCAUGGCUCAGGAUGAACGCUGGCGGCGUGCCUAACACAUGCAAGUCGAACGGGUGUGGUAUCAGGGAAAAGGGGUUUACUUCUUUGACCAGAUAACACACUAGUGGCGGACGGGUGAGUAACGCGUGGAUAACCUGCCUUAUACAGGGGGAUAACAGGGAGAAAUUCUUGCUAAUACCCCAUAGGUAUGUCUGACGCAUGUUGGACAUAUUAAAGCUUUGGCGGUAUAAGAUGGGUCCGCGUCUGAUUAGCUAGUUGGUGGGGUAAAGGCCCACCAAGGCGACGAUCAGUAGCCGGCUUGAGAGAGUGGACGGCCACAUUGGGACUGAGACACGGCCCAAACUCCUACGGGAGGCAGCAGUGGGGAAUAUUGCACAAUGGGGGAAACCCUGAUGCAGCGACGCCGCGUGAAGGAAGAAGGUCUUCGGAUCGUAAACUUCUAUCAGCAGGGAAGAAGGAAGUGACAGUACCUGAGUAAGAAGCCCCGGCUAACUACGUGCCAGCAGCCGCGGUAAUACGUAGGGGGCGAGCGUUAUCCGGAAUUACUGGGUGUAAAGGGUGCGUAGGCGGUAUGGCAAGUCAGUUGUGAAACCCCCUGGCUCAACCAGGGGCUUGCAAUUGAAACUGUCAUACUAGAGUGCAGGAGAGGAAAGCGGAAUUCCUAGUGUAGCGGUGAAAUGCGUAGAUAUUAGGAAGAACACCAGUGGCGAAGGCGGCUUUCUGGACUGUAACAGACGCUGAGGCACGAAAGCGUGGGGAGCGAACAGGAUUAGAUACCCUGGUAGUCCACGCCGUAAACGAUGAGUGCUAGGUGUCGGGGUCUAAUUAGAUCUCGGUGCUGAAGUUAACGCAUUAAGCACUCCACCUGGGGAGUACGAUCGCAAGAUUGAAACUCAAAUGAAUUGACGG
rnacentral:rRNA from 1 species